UUAGCGUCGGGUCAAACGGUAAAGUAAUUCAGACAAUGCAAAUUUGAUGUUACGUAGAGUUUUUUCAGAGAAGCGUCCAAUCACCAGACGAUUGGGCGGGCAGAUUUUGGUCCAGGCUGUACUGUGACGAUGGUUCCGGUCACUGCGAAGUUGGCAACUGCGACGGACUCGAGUGUCAAGGAAGAGGAGGUGUACCGCCGGUCACACUCGUCGAAAUUACUCUCAGAGGUCACGAGGGACAAGAUUUCUACGACAUUUCUCUGGUGGACGGCUACAGUUCUCCAGCCAGCAUUAGACCGGACAACGGACAAGGAAAAUGCAAGGCACUUUCCUGCAACGCCCCAAUCAACAGUCAAUGUCCUGACCAAUUGAAAGUCAAUAGCAACGAUCAUGGUGUCGUGGGUUGUAUGUCGUCGUGUGCUAAAUUCAAUACGGAUCAAUAUUGUUGCAAGAAUAGUUACAACACUAAGGAAACUUGUAAGGUUAACGAGUGGCCCCAGCCAAAUUCUGAGCCAUUCUUCAAACAGCAAUGUCCGGACGCCUACAGUUAUGCCUUUGAUGAUGAUAGGGGUACCAAUACGUGUCUUGCCAACAAGUACAUCAUCAUUUUCGGUGGAUAAAUAUUAAGUGUGUACGUUUAAAGUGUAAAUACAAAUUUGCAUUGAAAAAUCUAAAAUUAUCUGAUAUCCAAUAAUUGAAAUGUUUAUAUAUUUUUAGAGGUUGUUGCUAUAGAUACAAAAUUGUAACAUAUUUACAAACAUUAUAAGCUGAAUUGUAGUUGAUUAAAAGUAGAGUGGUUAAUAAUGACACUCUUGUUUUUAUUAAAAUUAUUGGAGAUAAGCAAACCCAUUUACAUUUUAAAAUGAUCAAAGAUUAAUAUCAAAAAAGCGGCUGAUAUAAUUCACAAAACACAUGGCAACUGUUAAUGAAAACAGUGAUUGGGUUAAAAAAAACCUAUAAGUUGUGUAUAAGUGAUUUGAAAUGUAAACAUAAUAAAUUUCAAUUAUAACUUUU